UGCCAGUGAUAAACUGGAGGAAGGUGGGGAUGACGUCAAGUCAUCAUGGCCCUUACGACCAGGGCUACACACGUGCUACAAUGGCGCAUACAAAGAGAAGCGACCUCGCGAGAGCAAGCGGACCUCAUAAAGUGCGUCGUAGUCCGGAUUGGAGUCUGCAACUCGACUCCAUGAAGUCGGAAUCGCUAGUAAUCGUGGAUCAGAAUGCCACGGUGAAUACGUUCCCGGGCCUUGUACACACCGCCCGUCACACCAUGGGAGUGAGUUGCAAAAGAAGUAGGUAGCUUAACCUUCGGGAGGGCGCUUACCACUUUGUGAUUCAUGACUGGGGUGAAGUCGUAACAAGGUAACCGUAGGGGAACCUGCGGUUGGAUCACCUCCUUACCUUAAAGAAGC
rnacentral:rRNA from 1 species